rnacentral:rRNA from 1 species
UACGUAGGGUGCGAGCGUUAAUCGGAAUUACUGGGCGUAAAGUGUGCGCAGGCGGCCGCGCAAGUCGAGUGUGAAAUCCCCGAGCUUAACUUGGGAAUUGCGCUCGAAACUACGUGGCUGGAGUGUGGCAGAGGAAGGUGGAAUUCCACGUGUAGCGGUGAAAUGCGUAGAUAUCGGGAGGAACACCAGUGGCGAAGGCGACUACCUGGCCUGUUCUUGACGCUGAGGCGCGAAAGCUAGGGGAGCAAACGGGG